CUGCCUUCCAUUUUAUCAAAUGACCAAGCCAUCCAUAGUGGCCAACCUGCGGAAGAAGUGUGAUGGUCGUAAAAGGAGAGGGACGAGAGGUAUUAACUCUACACUAGAGGGCGCUGGCACCCCACGGUGGGUGGGCAUUUGCUUUAAUCCCAUUCCCAAAACCACCCGGCAUCACCUCUCCCGCAGCCUAGCGUUCAAAGAUAGUGGGUGUGGAUCAUUGGAUCGAAAACAAAAAGCCUAACCACACCACACCACACCCAAACCCAAAGC